rnacentral:tRNA from 1 species
GACUCCGUGGCGCAAUGGUAGCGCGUCUGACUCCAGACAGAGGUUGCGUGUUCAAAUCACGUCGGGGUCA